GCCCCCCUGGCAUCCCGGCCGCUGGGCGCGGCGGCGCGCAUGCGCAGCUCCUCGGGCCGGCUCCGGCGCACCUUUUCUCCCCGCUGCCACAAUGUGAGCGCCCCGCCGCCCAGAUAACCGCCGACUCCCGCUCCACCCCCGCCCUCCCCCACUCCGCCCACUGCCGAGCGCCCAGGACCCUAGGACUUGCCCUUGUGUAUCUGAAGCUUUGGUGACCAGUACUUUGGAAGGCCUUGGGCCACAGGGCUGGACCCCAGGAUUAUGACCUGAGCGGAAGGCUCAACCACUGAGCCACCCAGGUACCCCUGAUGUGAAAACUCAAGUCCUCCCUGAGAGCAUCAGGUUGAAUAGUGUCUGACAGUGGAGAGUGACCUGGGGAUGACCAGGAAGUGACCUGGAAGUGACCAGUGACCUUCUGUGAAGCCCUAACUAGUGGCAAGGCUGAGCCUCUGCUGCAAACAAGGUAAAUUGGAGGACUUCAGGUGGCUACCCUCCACAGACCAAGGAGGGAAGGGAAAU
rnacentral:lncRNA from 1 species